AGCGAACGCUGGCGGCAGGCCUAACACAUGCAAGUCGAACGACCUCUUCGUAGUUAGUGGCGGACGGGUGAGGACACGUGCGAACGUGCCUUUUGGUUCGCGAUAACUCAGGGUAAGUUGUGCUAAUACCGGAUGUGCCCUCCCUGGUAAAGAUUUGUCGCUAUGAGAGCGGCCCGCGUCUGAUUAGCUCGUUGGUGAGGUAAUGGCCCACUAACGCAAUGAUUAGUAGCCGGUGUGAGAGGAAGACCAGACACACUGGGACUGAGCCACGGCCCAGACUCCUACGGGAGGCAGCAGUGGGGAAUCUUGCGCAAUGGGCGAAAGCCUGACGCAGCCAUGCCGCGUGAAUGAUGAAGGUCUUAGGAUUGUAAAAUUCUUUCACCGGGGACGAUAAUGACGGUACCCGGAGAAGAAGCCCCGGCUAACUUCGUG
rnacentral:rRNA from 1 species